rnacentral:tRNA from 1 species
AAGCUUAGGUUAACAAUUAAACCAGGAGCCUUCAAAGCCCCAAAUAGGAGACAAUCCUAACUUCUG